GGAUCGGUCGCGAAACUCCGGGACGUCACGCGCCGCCGCCAGCGCCAUCUAGCGAGCGCCGCCGCACCCCGCGCACCUGCGCCGCGCGACAAAACACUCCGCGCGUUCUGCCGUCGCAUUCACUCGCUCACGUACCGAGAGCUCACGUAAAAAUAACCUCAAAACGUAUUUUCGUCCUCCAGCCUUAUUAUUAUUGACAUAACAGUGAUAACAUCGAUAACAAACAGCCAACACAGUGAUUUGACAGUGCCCCAACACCAACAGCAGCAGUGUCUGCCCUCAAAGUGCCAGUUAUUAGUGAAUAUUUGACAAAAUCGAAAGUUUUCAAGGAACGAAUGUUUCUUUUGGUGGGCUGUCAAACGACAGCCCCCAAAUAUUGUGCCAAGAUGUGGUGGUUUAUAUUAUUGUGUGCUCUGAAUGUUAAUACAUUUGGAGUGUCUGCCUCAAACAGCACUGGAAAAGCCUCAGGGAAUGUGUGCUCGAUAAAGCAGUUCACGUGUGCGAACGGGAAGUGCAUACCGCUGUCGUGGGUGUGCGAGGGAGACAACGACUGUGGCGACAACUCCGACGAGAACAUUGAAGAAUGCAAAAAAGAAAGCCGCACGUGUACCGCCUCCGAGUUCCGGUGCAAGACCGGUCGCUGCAUCCCGGCCACGUGGCGCUGCGACAAUGAGAAAGACUGCUCUGAUGGCUCCGACGAGGAGCCCGGCACUUGCAAAGUGGAGAGUUGCGGCCCUGAGGAGUUCACGUGCAGGGGAAAGCCGGGCGAGUGCGUCCCGCUGACCUGGAUGUGUGACGACAACCCCGACUGUUCCGACGGAUCUGAUGAGAAAGCAUGCAAUGAGACUUGCCGUUCGGAUGAGUUCACUUGUGGCAACGGGAAGUGUAUCCAGCAGCGGUGGAUCUGUGACGGUGAUGAUGACUGCGGGGACGGGUCCGAUGAGGUCAAGUGUCCGGCUCCGACCUGCCAGCCGAGCACCCACUUCGCGUGCCAUGAAGGUCACUGCAUCUCCGCUAGAUGGCGCUGUGACGGCGACAGCGACUGUCCCGAUGGAAGUGAUGAAAUGGGUUGCGCAACAACACCAAAGGUAACCUCACCAUGCACAUCGCAAGAGUUCGAGUGCCACGACCGGAUCACUUGCGUGCACAAGGCCUGGGUCUGCGACGGUGACCGAGACUGCCCCGAUGGGGGGGACGAAGUGGCCGAGAUAUGCCGAGGCAACGUCACCUGCAGACUGGACCAGUUCCAGUGCAAGGAUCAUAGCUGUAUUCCUGGCGCGCUGUAUUGUAAUGGAGAUAAGGACUGUCCGGAUGGCAGUGAUGAGUUGAAUUGCACCAAACCAAAGCCAGUCUGCGACAAGAAGACAGAAUUCGACUGCGGCCAGGGCAUGUGCAUCCCUCUCUCCAAGGUCUGCGACAAGAAGCCAGACUGCCCCAACUUCGAGGACGAGCCCCGAGGCAGGUGUGGGGAGAACGAGUGUGCGAAGGGCAAUGGAGGAUGCACGCAGAAGUGUGUGGAUACCCCUGUCGGCUACUACUGCGACUGCGAGAAGGGGUACAAGCUGAUUGAUAACAGGACUUGUGAAGACGUGGACGAGUGCAUGGACCCGGGCGCGUGCUCGCAGAUGUGCAUCAACGAGAAGGGCACGUUCAAGUGCGAGUGCCACGCCGGCUACGCACGGGACCCACGCGACAGGACCCGUUGCAAGGCUACCGAAGGUCACCCAUCCCUGCUGUUCGCCCGCCGCUUCGACAUCCGCAAGAUCAGCCUCGACCACCACGAGAUGGUGGCCAUCGUCAACGACACCAAGUCUGCGACUGCGCUCGACUAUGUGUUCAGAACCGGCAUGAUCUUCUGGAGUGACGUCACGGAUGAGAAAAUUUACAAAGCCCCAAUCGACGAAGGCAGCCAACGCACCGUGGUCAUAGGCGACCAGCUCAUAACCUCAGACGGUCUGGCCGUGGACUGGAUCUACAACCACCUGUACUGGACCGACACUGGCAAGAACCACAUCGAGCUGUCGGACCUGCAGGGCAACAUGAGGAAGGUGCUGAUACGGGACCGCUUGGAGGAGCCUAGGGCUAUCGCGCUGAAUCCUCUGGAUGGAUGGAUGUACUGGACCGACUGGGGCAACACGCCCAAGAUCGAGCGCGCCGGGCUCGACGGCUCUCACCGGCAGACCGUCGUGUCGUACGACGUCAAGUGGCCCAAUGGACUCACGCUGGACCUGGUCAGGAAACGCGUUUACUGGGUGGACGCAAAAAUGAACACAAUAUCGUCCUGCGACUACGACGGCUCGGCGCGGCGGGUGGUUCUCUACUCGACCGACGUGCUUCGACACCCGUUCUCCAUCACCACCUUCGAGGACUCAGUCUACUGGACCGACUGGGACAAGGCCGCCGUCUACAGAGCCAACAAGUUUAAUGGGAAGAAUAUUGAGGCGAUUACUUCUACGCAUACGCUGCAAAACCCAAUGGUGAUCCACGUGUACCAUCCGUACCGGCAACCGGACGGCGUGAACCACUGCGCGGCCGUCAACGGUCACUGCUCCCACCUCUGCCUGCCCGCGCCCAGGAUAGGGCCACACUCGCCGAAGGUGUCCUGUGCAUGCCCCACCGGCCUCCGCCUGCUGCCCGACAACCAGAUGUGCGUCGAAGACAGUGUUCCCGAGCCGCCCAAGACUGGUACUGGGAUCUCGAGUAGCGGCCGAGACGCCGGCGUGGUGGCUGGCAUCGUCGUUGCUGUCAUCUCUGGAGUCAUCAUCUUGGCUGGACUGAUCGCGGUGGUGAUGUACCGUCACUACGUGCACAGGAACGUGACGUCAAUGAACUUCGACAACCCUGUGUACCGGAAGACCACUGAGGAACAGUUCGCCCUAGAGAAGAAUGGAUACGCGCCCGGCAGCAAACUAUAUCCGAGCACCGUUGGAGAAGAGGUGAGGGCACUGACCGCCAUGGAAUGCACCCUUAACAUACAGAACAGCCUAAGAUAAACCAAAACAUAGACAGCCGCAUAAUUAAAAAAAACUAUCCGCAGUCAAUAAUUUGAAGUAUAACUGUCUUCAACGGUUGAAUGUUUUAGUUUGUUUCGUGUGUACAAUGAAGUAACAAAGACCCCAUGUUCAUGGCCCAAAAGUUUACUAAACUAAUGUGUAAAUAAGAAAAAGAUAUUUUAGUGUUACUAUUAAAAACUUAAGGUCUUGUUAAGGCAUUUUAAAACUUGAUGUAAUGGACUUAGAGUAAAAUUAAAAUUUAGCGGAAGCGGUCGGGUGGGUUUUAGGUAUUAUUUUAUGAUAGAUGUAAGUAACAGGCCAAUUUAUGUGCCAAACAUUUUUACCGCAUCAGUAUUAAAAUAUAGCCGCCAAAAAUUUGGUCUUGAUCGUAGGUGUACAAUGCUGUAAAUAGUCCCAUUUUAAUAAAUUCAUUUUGUAAUUUACCUCUGCUUAAUCGUUAUAUAUAGUAUAUUACGGUAUUACUGCUGAGAAUUUGUUUUUCAUGCAUUUACGAGCGAGGGCUAUUAGGCCCAAGAACCACUUAACACUCCUGGGACAAAUGAAUUCGUAUAGUGCGAGAGCCGGCAGUAAAUAUAUUAGUAUGUCAGUAAAUGUUAAAAGAAAAAGAAGGACAUGUGAUACUUAAACAUAGUUUUAACCAGUGAAUGGACCUAAAGCUGACAAUUUUGUAGUAAAAAUGUUAGUGCUAGUGCAAGUGUAACGUGUCAAGAUAAUCGGCUAAAUCCGGACGCCCGCGCCGUUGGAAACUCGACCGUAUUUUGACGAGCAUAGGAGUCAAGAUCUCUCGGUUGAAGUGCGUCUCCAGCUAAGAUGGAGUAAGCUAUUUGCCUCUCUUUCUGUUAUGUUAGAGCGUAAUUAUUAUGUUUGUUUCUUUGGAACGCAUCUUGACUAGGACAGCUAUUUUAAACACACUUACAUCUUUCAUACAAAACUGAAGACUCGAAUAAAUAUUAAUUUAAUGUAUGUUCUACAGUUACGUUAAAUUGAUAUGUAAUUUCUUUGCGCCCGUAUCACAAAGUAUUGACGUGUUUGACGUUAUCUGUGGGAUAAAUAUUGUGCUGUCUGAUAGCAUGAUGUUUGAUUUUAACUUUUACGCAGACAUUGUGGAACAGGCUCUUAGUCUCUCGUCUUGUAUUGAGAGGUGUUUAUUAGCUCUGCAGUGCUAGUGUCGGUUAAAUAUUCAGUAAUGCCUUACAAUUUUAUGAGAUUUUUGGUCGGUAAAGGUUUUUUGUAUCACAAUAAAAGGGAUAUUUUGCUAAAGUUUUUGUUAGACUGUGACUAGAGUUAGAUAUUUUGCUUUAUCGAGCUAUUUGCCUGGUGCAUUGUAGUUAUUAAAAUAUAAAUGUACUUUACAAUUAUUGUAUUCCAUUUUAGUUAAGGUUUUUUUAUUGCUAACUUUGUGUAAAAAGGCAAAGCAUGAGAUUUUAGAUCAAACGAGACUCACAGUUUUUAGUGAGAUGUACUUAGUAAGUUAAAUUUAAUCAUUUUAAUUACUAAUCUUGAUUAUUGUUAUAAUCGAGCAAAAUUUUUUGUAACUUCCUAGUAACUCGUACUAUGUAAAUAGUCUAAACAGGCAUCACUAUUUAUUUUAUCUAAACUUAGAAUACAUUUAAAAGAAUUAGGCUAAAUAAAUAAAAUUGCCACAUUUUAAUCUAUGUGCCAAUGUUAGAGUCUCCUAAUUCUAUCCCUAAUCGAUGUAGUAGCAAAUUACUUAUUUUUUAAAAUUUAAUCUCCAAUGAAUUCUCAGUAAAUAUCAGGUGUAAUUUAUUCAAUAUUAUGUUUAAAUAAACUGUUAUGUAUUUGAAAAUUUAUGUAAGUAGUGUUUAUUAGCCCUAUUUGUUUUAUAAAAUAAUAUUUACUAUGACUGUUUGGGAUAUGAAAUUUUGUCAAGCAAAAUCCUGCCAAAUGAAUUCUGCUAAGUAUAUAAUAUGUAAAAUUAUAUAACUACCUAGAAAUGUAAUCCGAUUACAUUAAAUUAUUGCACAUUUCAUACAAUAUGCCUAGCUCAAUAAGUGUGGUCACUCAAAACUAUCAAGUGUAAAUAUUAUCAGUAAAAUAUAUGUAAAAUGUGUUAAUAUAUAAA